rnacentral:rRNA from 1 species
UACGAUUUCCGGAUAUUGGGCGUAAGCGCGCGCAGGUGGUUUCUUAAGUCUGAUGUGAAAGCCCACGGCUCAACCGUGGAGGGUCAUUGGAAACUGGGAGACUUGAGUGCAGAAGAGGAAAGUGGAAUUCCAUGUGUAGCGGUGAAAUGCGUAGAGAUAUGGAGGAACACCAGUGGCGAAGGCGACUUUCUGGUCUGUAACUGACACUGAGGCGCGAAAGCGUGGGGAGCAAACAGGAUUAGAUACCCUGGUAGUCCACGCCGUAAACGAUGAGUGCUAAGUGUUAGAGGGUUUCCGCCCUUUAGUGCUGAAGUUAACGCAUUAAGCACUCCGCCUGGGGAGUACGGCCGCAAGGCUGAAACUCAAAGGAAAUUGACGGA